GAUGAACGCUGGCGGCGUGCCUAAUACAUGCAAGUCGAGCGAACGGACGAGAAGCUUGCUUCUCUGAUGUUAGCGGCGGACGGGUGAGUAACACGUGGAUAACCUACCUAUAAGACUGGGAUAACUUCGGGAAACCGGAGCUAAUACCGGAUAAUAUUUUGAACCGCAUGGUUCAAAAGUGAAAGACGGUCUUGCUGUCACUUAUAGAUGGUUACGCGCUGCAUUAGCUAGUUGGUAAGGUAACGGCUUACCAAGGCAACGAUGCAUAGCCGACCUGAGAGGGUGAUCGAGCACACUGGAGCUGAGACACGGUCCAAACUCCUACGGGAGGCAGCAGUAGGGAAUCUUCCGCGAUGGGCGAAAGCCUAACGGAGCAACGCCGCGUGAGUGAUGAAGGUCUUCGGAUCGUAAAACUCUGUUAUUAGGGAAGAACAUAUGUGUAAGUAACUGUGCACAUCUUGACGGUACCUAAUCAGAAAGCCACGGCUAACUACGUG
rnacentral:rRNA from 1 species